AAUCAACGCUGGCGGCGUGCCUCAGACAUGCAAGUCGAACGAGAACCUCCCUUCGGGGAGGAGACAGUGGCGCACGGGUGAGUAACACGUGGGUAAUUUACCUUUGGGUGGGGAACAACAGCCGGAAACGGCUGCUAAUACCGCAUAAUGCAGCGGCUCGACAUCGAGACAGUUGUUAAAGCGGGGGGAUCGCAAGACCUCGCGCCUGAAGAGAAGCCUGCGGCGGAUUAGCUAGUUGGUAGGGUAAUGGCCUACCAAGGCGACGAUCUGUAACCGGCCUGAGAGGGCGGUCGGUCACACUGACACUGACAUACGGGUCAGACUCCUACGGGAGGCAGCAGUCGGGAAUUUUGGGCAAUGGGCGAAAGCCUGACCCAGCAACGCCGCGUGAAGGAUGAAG
rnacentral:rRNA from 1 species